CGAAGGGGGCGAAGCGUUGCUCGGAAUCACUGGGCGUAAAGGGCGCGUAGGCGGACGUUUAAGUCAGGGGUGAAAUCCCGAGGCUCAACCUCGGAAUUGCCUUUGAUACUGGAUGUCUCGAGACCGGAAGAGGUGAGUGGAACUGCGAGUGUAGAGGUGAAAUUCGUAGAUAUUCGCAAGAACACCAGUGGCGAAGGCGGCUCACUGGUCCGGUUCUGACGCUGAGGCGCGAAAGCGUGGGGAGCAAACAGGAUUAGAUACCCUGGUAGUCCACGCCGUAAACGAUGGAUGCUAGCCGUUGGCGAGCUUGCUCGUCAGUGGCGCAGCUAACGCUUUAAGCAUCCCGCCUGGGGAGUACGGUCGCAAGAUUA
rnacentral:rRNA from 1 species